AAGAAAUUAGCUCAGUUGGUUCAGAGCAUCCCGACAUUUCGUCGGGAGGGUCGGGGGUUCGAACCCCUCAUUUCCCACCA
rnacentral:tRNA from 1 species